UGGACUUCCGCCCACUAUUCAGAUGCAAUCCGAGUGCGCUGUCUUCAUUGCUCCUGAACUUUACCUGUAUUUGCAGAAAGCAAUGCCAGAGCUGAGAGGCAGGAACAAAGAGGAGAAAAUAUAAGACUAAAAGGACAGAGCACGAAGAGGGAAACACAACAGGUCACCAACUAUUGCACCUGGAAGAAAACAACCAAACAUUGUUGUGUUGUGAGUGCUGAAGGCCCGAGUUUACACGUGUCAUGGUCCCCAUGUCUGCCCGGCUGACUCAGGUUGGCUACACAUGUUUCUUGUUUACAUCUACCUCUCUCACGCUUGCCGUGUCUCGCCGGGGCGGAGCUCAUUGCGGGCUCCCGCCCCUGGCCCUCGCACCUGAGGUUAAUCACACACCUGUGGCUCAUCGCCUAAACUUAUCCACUACUUAAGGCAGUGGCUGGAAACAUCUCGUCGCUGGACUAUUGAGUAACCUCGGAAUUCCGUUUCCCUGGGAACCCUCGGUGUGCAGGCUUGCUGGUGUGUUUUUGUGAAGUCCCUCGUGUGUGAAGAGCUCCUUUUCUGGAUUCCCCUGUGCCCUGGAUUGCCCCCGCCCUCUCACUUCGCACCUGGUGUUGUACAGCUAUAAACGGAGUCCAUUCCACAUCGUGACAACACGUCCUGAUAACAAUCAUCUUAUCAGGACGUGUUGUCCAUCAGCAGCAGGAGGAGGAAGCAGGCCUCAGCUCCUGAUCUAGAUCUAAAUCUUGUUGACAUAUUCUGUCUCUGCUGCCGACUCACCUGAACAACAAUCAACACUGAAGAAAUCAAAGCUGCAGUUUUUACAUUUGAGGUUAUUUGAAAGAAACUCAUUUAGCUUCGUAGUUUCUGAUCAAACAUUGUUUAUGAGCUCUUCACAUGUUUAGUUUGUGAAAAUAAAGUUUGUAAAGUCACUAAAGUGUAAAACAGAAUGACACGUUAAGGCUGAACCAUGUGUUUCCAUGGUAACAAUUCACUGGUAUCUCAGUACGGCAUCUCUGACAUCAGAUUCUUCUGAUUGUUUCUGCUUUGUUCAGCAGUUUCAGUUCAGCUGAAGUUAGACUAAACAAAAAGCUUCGCUGAUUUAAAAACAGACCAGUGUGUAGUUUGAGUUUGACUCUAUUAAAAUAUUUAAGAUGUUAUUUAAACUAUGAAGAAUAUUUGAUAUGUUUUAUCAAAUUUUAGAACAAGAGUUUUUUGUGAAUCUGAUUCCUGCCAUCAAAUAAAUGGAAAUUAAAACAUC